CCCUUAGAUGUUCUGGGCCGCACGCGCGCUACAAUGAUGAAUUCAACGAGUUUAUAACCUUGGUUGAAAAGCCUGGGUAAUCUUUCGAACUUUCGUCGUGAUGGGGCUAGACCCUUGCAAUUAUUGGUCUCCAACGAGGAAUUCCUAGUAAACGCAAGUCAUCAGCUUGCAUUGAUUACGUCCCUGCCCUUUGUACACACCGCCCGUCGCACCUACCGAUUGAAUGGUCCGGUGAAAUCUUCGGAUUGAGACUUUGAUUUCUUCACGGAAAACGCUGUUUUAAAAAGUUGAUUAAACCUUACCAUUUAGAGGAAGGUGAAGUCGUAACA
rnacentral:rRNA from 1 species